UUGAUUUCAGGUUGAUUUCUCAAUUUGGUGUGGUUAUGAGGGAUUGAUUUUGCAAACUGCACAGGUUGAUUUCUCAAUUUGGUGCGGUUAUUAGGGUUUGAUUUUACAAAUUUCAUCAGGUAUUUGUUGUUUGAUUUCUGUCAGACAACUAACUUAUAGGAACAUCUUCAUCAGG